UGAAGAGCUGGCGGUGGUGUGUCGUAACGACCUCCAUCAGAAGCGUCUGUCCAGGGAGUCGGGUUACAGCGCCUCAGAGAAACACCUGGAGGAUGACGUGGUUGCCGUGGAGAUGAGGGAGCAGCAACAACAGCAGCAGCCGCCGUUGCUCGACCAGUCAGAGCUCCCCUCGGAGCGUCUGUCCCUCCCCUCCUCGCAGACGGAUGGGAAGCUGGCCAAUCGGGACAGCGGGAUCGACAGCAUCAGCUCUCCGUCGCACAGUGAGGAGCUCUGCUUCGCCAGCGUGGACGAUGGGGGCGUGGCUUAUCCCUGCAGUCCCGCCCUCCUGCCCCGCCUCUCCAGCUCAUCCUCAUAUGCGGGGGAGGGAGGGGAGGGGGAUGGAGAGGAGGGGGAGGUGAGGGGAGCUGCGAGGAGGAGGAGGGAGUUCUCUGAGGAGGGAGACAGUGACCUGGAGGAGGAGGAGGAGGCGGAGCUAACACUGGUGCUGUCCCCCCCCAAGACAGACAGACAGGACUCUGCUGAGCUGUCUGUCCAGCAGAGGGUCUUCAACAUCGCCAAUGAGCUGCUACACACAGAGAUCGCCUACGUCUCUAAGCUGCACCUCCUGGACCAGGUUUUCUGUGCCAGACUCCUGGAGGAGGCCCGGUCUCGCUCCUCCUUCCCCUGUGACGUCGUUCAGGGAAUCUUCUCCAACAUCUGCUCCAUCUACUGUUUCCAUCAGCAGUUCUUGCUGCCGGCGCUGCAGAAACGCAUGGAGGAAUGGGAUUCGAACCCACGGAUCGGGGACAUCCUGCAGAAGCUGGCUCCCUUCCUGAAAAUGUACGGAGAGUAUGUGAAGAACUUUGACCGAGCCAUGGAGCUGGUGAACACCUGGAUGGAGAGGUCGGCUCAGUUCAAGACCAUCAUCCAGGAGAUCCAGAAGGAGGAGCGUUGUGGGAACCUGACGCUGCAGCAUCACAUGUUGGAGCCGGUUCAGAGGAUUCCUCGCUACGAGCUGCUGCUCAAAGAUUAUCUACACCGACUGCCGGAGGACGCCCCGGACUACAGGGACGCCCAGAAGUCUUUGGAGCUGAUUGCCACAGCAGCAGAACAUUCGAAUGCCGCCAUCAGGAAGAUGGAGAGAAUGAGGAAGUUGUUGAAGGUGUACGAGUUGUUGGGAGGAGAAGAAGACAUCGUUAACCCGACUAACGAGCUCAUUAAAGAAGGACACAUCCUCAAACUGUCCAACAAGAAUGGGACCACGCAGGACAGAUACCUCAUACUGUUUAAUGACAGGUUGCUGUACUGCGUCCCAAAGCUGCGUCUGAUCGGUCAGAAGUACGGUGUCCGCACUCGCAUUGAUGUGGACGGCAUGGAGUUGAAGGAGACCAGCAGUGGUGCAGUUCCCAGGACGUUCCUUGUGUCUGGAAAACAGAGAUCCCUGGAGCUGCAGGCCAGGACGGAGGAGGAGAAAAAAGACUGGAUCCAGGCCAUCCAAGCGACCAUCCAGAGACAUGAGCAGACGCUGGAGAGCUUCAGACAUUUGAAUUGUUCCCUACGAGAUGAUGAAUCCACACCACCUCACUCCCCGAGCUGCGUGGAGCUGGGGAAGCGAGCUCCGACUCCAAUCAGAGAGAAGGAAGUCACUCUGUGUAUGAAGUGUCAGGAGCCGUUCAACUCCAUCACCAAGAGACGACACCACUGUAAAGCCUGUGGACACGUGGUUUGUGGGAAAUGUUCGGAGUUUCGUGCUCGUCUGUCGUACGACAACAACCGGACCAAUCGUGUUUGUAUCGACUGCUACGCCACGCUGGUGGGAGUCUUGCCCUCGCCCGCCACGCUGACCAGCAGCACCCAGAGGAGGCGCUCCAUCCUGGAGAAACAGGCCUCGCUGGCGGCAGAGAACAGUGUGAUUUGUAGUUUUCUUCACCACAUGGAGAAAGGAGGGGGGCGGGGCUGGCAGAAGGCCUGGUUCGUCAUACCUGAAAACGAGCCGCUGGUGCUCUACAUCUAUGGAGCUCCGCAGGACGUGAAGGCGCAGCGCAGCGUUCCUCUGAUUGGCUUCGAAGUCUCUCUACCUGAGUCAUGUGACCGUCUUGAGAGACGCCACGCCUUCAAGAUCUCCCAGAGUCACCUGACCCUGUACUUCAGCGCUGAGGGGGAGGAGCUACAGCGGCGAUGGAUGGACGUCCUGUCGAGGGCCGGGAGGGGGGAGGAGCCUCAGGUCCACCGGCCAAUCGUAGAGAGUCUGGAGGAGGAGGGGGAGGAUCUCGCAGCUGCAGCGGAGGGCGGGAACACGUGAUUCUAUUGUAUGAGCAACGAUGGUUUUGGUGAAGGCGGGGUCUUUAGAUGAAUAUCAAUCCCUAUUGGAAACCAGUACAAAACCAGUUCAUACAGUCGUAGCUAAAAUAUACGUUUAACACAAACACACACACACACACACACACUGAGCUCUCUGUAUAUUUAAAGUUGCGUGGUUCAUCUGCAUGAUUCCUCCCUGCUGUCGUCACACAAAAUAGCGUCUCUCUCUCUCUCUCUCGUUUUACCUUUGUUUCACCUGCGCGGUGAGGUGGGCGGAGCCUCUGGUUCUAUAAAUGUCGUCAACGUAAAUUCUCACAGUAAACUUUCCUUUCAACGAUAACCUCAGCACACAAACCAUAGCAGUCUCCUGGUCACGGACCAGUUGGUUUUUCUCCCUGAGUUUCAUCUGUGGAAUGUCUCUGAACACUACAGUACCCAUGAGCCCCAGCUAUGGAAAUGCCUCCGCCUACAGCUGUUACAUCCGAGUUGUAUCAUAUUCAGAAAACUGACCCUAAACUUUUUUAGAUCUGAGAAUUUGUCCAAUGAGUUCAGCCGCUGACUUCUCCCUAAGCUGCACGGCAGCAAGAGUCUGAAGCUCAUUUAAUCAACUUGUGUAUUCACGGUCAUGGGCUCAGUCACCACACGUCUCCUGAUGGAGCACUGCAAGUUCUUCAGCUUCUUCCUGUGUCCUUAUGUAGUAUUAAUUCAUCAGUUUUUCAAAAGGUGGGAUGUAUUUCAGUGGUUAUCUCACUUUGCAACAACCUUAGUUAUUGUGAGUUAUUUAAUGUGCAUUUAUUCUGGAGCCAAAAAGGUCAAACAGUCAGUUCACAAGAUAAUGGACAAUGAGGCUCCCUUUUAUCACUGUGUGUUCGAAACCUGCAGGAGACCGUUGAACAUAACCAAGAAAGUUGAAUAUAAAAUGGCCGCGGGUUUAGCUCACAGUUAAAACUCUGCAUUCACGUUUUGUCCGGCUGACACCAUCUCUAUUCUCCGUUUACGUUUUCUUCAAAGACCAGUGAAAGAAACCCACAAACACACAAACCCAAGAUCUGCAGCAAAAGAAUGGGACCCUAGCUGAACUCAGUUCAGUGCAGACCGAAUAUAAUCCAGCCUAGUCUCCUCAUGAAUCACAUUGAUAUCGGUCAAUUCGGCACCUCACAAUUUACGUUCUGUGGCACUAUACAUAUACGGAGGAAGUAGUGUGUCCAAUACCUGGAUGUAUUAAUAGAUGUGAUGUGCAGCCUCCACGCAGCCUUGUUGCUAAUGUGGCCACUCACAGUACUGUAACUAAAAAUCACUUCAGUUCGUCCCGGUGGCUGACCAGGGUACUGCGACAAAAGGAACACCUCCAGCCCGGAAGGCAUUUUCCACAUUGACCUCCAUUAUACAUGAGACGAGUGUAAAGCUGUGGAAAGGCUCGGUUAUUACUCUGCGUGCACUUGGAGAGAAAUUUUCUUUUAAAUGAAAAGGUCCAGUUAUUUGAAGCAGUAUAUAUUCAGAAAGUAUUCAAAAACAAUAGGGACAUGGACGUGGGUCUGUUUGUACUGUGAACACAUGUUCACAGGAUUGUUGGUGUGUCCUGCUCUGACAUAAACUUUGGGCUGGACGUGGAAACUCUUGGACUUGUGCAGAUGAAGAUAUUUACAUCACACAGACUCUUACAGCCAUGCGGAUGCAAAAAGUAUCAUUUGAGCUGUGGUGGACGAGGUGGUGGGUGAAUGUUUACCCCAUCUGACUGAGCUGCUGUCAUUGUAACCGUAACCACAAUGUUUGCCUCCCAUUAACCAGACUAUAGUUACCUUGCACAGAUUUUGUAAAAAGUGAGAAUUUUAAAAAAGGUAAUGUUGGACAUAAUGUGGGGUUUUGCAGAAUCGUCUAAUAUCAUCAUUUUCUAGUUAUGGGGCUGAUGUAAUCUGGACCCAGCCUGACGCGGGUCCAGGGUUCUCGGUUAUUCAGCAGCAACUCAGCCCAUGCAGAACUCUAUUAUGUUGUUUCGUUCAUCUCGCAAUGAAAACAUAAAUGAAAUGGAUUAACAAGCACGUACAAACACAUGCCGGAGUCAAACUGGACAAUGCCCCCCCCCCAACACACACACACACACACCCACCCCCCCCACACACACAUUGGUUCAAAUCCCAACAAAGAGCUGAGGAGUCGACCUUCAACCUGUAAUGAGUGCAGCUGCUGCCGUCGCCUUGGACAAUUAUGUAAGAAAUUAGAAGAGAAGAGUUUAGCAGUGCUGGCACGUCAGCAGGACAUAAACUGUCCGAUUUUUAAAACACGAAAGAAGAAAAAGACUGAUCUGUUCUCUUUAAAUGCACUUCAAAGACAUUUCAUUUUUUUAUUUCAAAUUUCGCCUAAAGAAAAAAAGUCUACAGAUUUCUAUUUUCCUUUUGUUUUCUUCCGUUUGAAUUUUUAAAGUUUUCUUUCCACCCUCAGUGACCUCGCUGCUGCUGUCUGACCUCCAAACCUGCCGAUCAAAUCACCUGUCAGGAGCUAAACUACGUUUCCCAGCAAACUCUGCUGUGAGGAGUGGAAUCCUGAAGCCUCUCUGCUCUCUACAGGUGAAGCAGGGUACUGCAGCUUCUUAUAAAAUACCUGAGGCGGUUGGUUCAUCAAUGUCCUGAAGAAACCUCACUCAACAUUUUGGGGAUUAAAGACCUUUUCCAACUGUUAAAAAAAUCAUAUAAUUUUUCUACUUAAUUAAUACUUACUUUAUGAAUUGAAGAAGUACUCCUGUUUGUUGUAACGCGCCCAAUACCAAAAUUUCAAGUCAAGAUUUUGACUUUCUUUUGACUCUUCAAGUAAUUAUAGAUAUGGCUCAAAGUUGUGAAAUCCUAACUUAAAAUUUUGACCCUCAAAGUAAACAUUUCAACUCAUCAUAUUAUUUGAUUUACUAUCUCACAAGUUUAUAAUGGUGAUUUAAGUCAAAAUUAUAACUCAAGUUUCUUACUUAAUACUUGAGUAUUAAGUUUUUUUUCUGACAUUUUUUCUGGCCAUUUUCUGACCUUUAUUGAACAGACGACUAACUGGUUAAUGAAGAAAAUAAUACCUGGAAAUGAAAAUGAAAAUAGUCGUUAGUUGCAGCGCUAAUAACCUGUGAGAUAUGAGACUUCUGCAGGACACUGAGGAUCUCAGUGGUGGUGCAGGUUUUUUGGAGCUGGAUGUAAAAAGUUUGUGGAGGUUUUUAAAGACAGUUUCAGGCAGUUGGAGACACCAAGAGUCUCUGAGAAGAACCAGAAACCAGACUGGACUAUAAACCUUCAUGUUUCUGCUGAGUUCAGACUGAACUCUUAACCUCCCCAGGUCUGAUGGACUGGUUUUUGUUUCCUGGAUGUUCUGAACAGCCGAUCUGAACAGAAUCCAAAAGAAAAGACUUUGGUUGUUUUUAUCAUCUUCUCUUCCAGUGACGGCCGGUGUUACAGACUGUUAAUGGCUGCUGUUACCCAUGGUUGGAUUACUGACCGGACAUGUCAGGGGGCCCCCGGACCAGAGCCGUUGUUUGAGGUUAACAUGUCUUGUUUGAAAGUCACAGUUAAAAGACACAAAACAACCACCAAGAGAUGAAAAACAUUGCGAUAAAGAGAGACCACAAAGAAACACAAAAUGACUAAUAACCGCCUCCAAUUUAAGGAGUCCUGGGGUUGGGGGCAUUUUACCUGUCUGUGCCCCAGGCGCCCCUUUUCUCCUAAUCUGUUUAUGCUGUUACCAUGGAGACCAUCAGGAUUUUCUCCUCUGCUUAUGUUUGAACAGAUGACAAACAUGCAUGAAACAAACCAAACAAUGUUAAUAAAUGACAAUAUUUUGGCAUGUGGACUAUAAACAUCAUCAAAUAUGGAUAUACAUAUUUCUAACACAGCUUUUAAAGAACCAAUCAGACGAGGACUAGGCGGUAAUGUCACGUAGUUGAAUGACAUCAUUUUUUUGAGACCAGAGCUCUUAUCUCCUGACUUCCUGCUAUAGUAACCACUGGGUUUCUGGAGAAGCAUGUUACCAUGGUGACCUCCAGGUUCCCUGAGCCUCAUAUUGCUCGUUACCAUGUUGCCGUAGCAACCACUAUACUAGUUACCAUGGCAACAGCAUUCACCGCUCUCCCACUCUCUCUCCAGCUGUAACAGCAGCAUGGUUGUGCAUUCUUCUUCUUGUAGUUCUGGUAUCUUGUUAUUAUUGAUUAUUGAUCGAUUGCAGGUUAUUGGUUAGUGGCCGGCCACUGCCUUCCAUUCUGUCCAUGUCUGUUCCCCAUCAGCCCUUCUGUGAGAAAAUAAAAUGA